rnacentral:lncRNA from 1 species
ACUCACGUUGGGCUCCCGCCCCUCCUGGUCCCUGAUUGGCUGCUGCUGGCCCCGCCCCUCGGCGCCUCGGCCAAUCCCGUGCUCCGCCGCCCGCAGCUCGGGCAGGGUCACGCCCUGGCCGGGGUCAGGGGUCACACAGGGGUCAGGGGUCACACAGGGGUCACCCAGGGGUCAGGGGUCACCCCGGGGUCACACAGGGGUCACCCCGGGGUCACCCAGGGGUCAGGGGUCACACAGGGGUCACACAGGGGUCAGGGGUCACCCAGGGGUCACCCCGGGGUCACACAGGGGUCAGGGGUCACCCAGGGGUCACCCCGGGGUCACACAGGGGUCAGGGGUCACACAGGGGUCACCCCGGGGGUUUUGGGGUGAAUCCAGAGAUUUCGGGGCGGUUUUGGGGCGAUUUUUGGGGGAUUUUUGGGGGAUUUUGGGGCGAUUUUGGGGCAGUUUUUGGGGUGAUUUUGGGGCAGUUUUUGGGGUGAUUUUGGGGCAGUUUUUGGGGUGAUUUUGGGGUGAUUUUGGGGCGAUUUUGGGGCAGUUUUUGGGGCGAUUUUGGGGCAGUUUUUGGGGUGGUUUUUUGGCAGUUUUGGGUCGGUUUUUUGGGUGAUUUCGGGGUUAUUUCUAGGGUGAUUUUGGGCAGUUUUGUGGCAGAUUUUGGGGCAAUUUUGGGCUGUUUUGUGGCAGUUUUUGAGGCAAUUUUGGACAGUUUUGGGGCAGAUUUUGGGGUGAUUUUGGCCGUUUUGGGGCGAUUUUUGGGCAGGUUUUUGGGUAGUUUUUUGGGCAGUUUUUGGGUCGAUUUUGGCUGUUUUUUGGGCAGAUUUUGGGUCGAUUUUGGCUGUUUCAGGUCAUUUUUUUGGUCAGUUUUUUGGGCAGAUUUUGGGUGGAUUUUUGGUCAGUUUUUGGGGCAGAUUUUGGGUGGAUUUUGGCCGUUUUCGGGUCAGUUUUUGGGUGGAUUUUGGCCGAUUUUGGGCAGAUUUUGGGUGGAUUUUUGGUCAGUUUUUGGGGCAGAUUUUGGGUGGAUUUUGGCCGUUUUCAGGUCAGUUUUUGGGUUGAUUUUGGCUGUUUUUUGGGCAGAUUUUGGGUGGAUUUUUGGUCAGUUUUUGGGGCAGAUUUUGGGUGGAUUUUGGCCGUUUUCAGGUCGGUUUUUGGGUGGAUUUU